rnacentral:rRNA from 1 species
AACGAACGCUGGCGGCGUGCUUAACACAUGCAAGUCGAACGCGAAAGGGACUUCGGUCCUGAGUAAAGUGGCGCACGGGUGAGUAACACGUGGAUAAUCUACCCGAUGGGCCGGGAUAACACUUCGAAAGGGGUGCUAAUACCGGAUAAGCCCACAGGCUCCCUGGAGCUUGCGGGAAAAGGUGGGGACCUUCGGGCCUGCCGUCAUCGGAUGAGUCCGCGGCCCAUUAGCUAGUUGGUGGGGUAACGGCCCACCAAGGCGACGAUGGGUAGCUGGUCUGAGAGGAUGAUCAGCCACACUGGAACUGAGACACGGUCCAGACUCCUACGGGAGGCAGCAGUGGGGAAUUUUGCGCAAUGGGGGAAACCCUGACGCAGCAACGCCGCGUGAGUGAUGAAGGCUUUCGGGUCGUAAAGCUCUGUCAGAGGGGAAGAAACUGUUGUGGUCGAACAGGCCGCAAGACUGACGGUACCCUCAAAGGAAGCACCGGCUAACUCCGUGCCAGCAGCCGCGGUA